rnacentral:misc_RNA from 1 species
CCGAGCUCCUGCCCUCCGGGUAGAGACGCCACCCGUGUGUAUCAGACCACUGUUGCUUUGGCGGGCACUGCCCGCCAGAGGCCCCUAACCCUGAGCGUGUGUGUUGUCGGAGCACUAUCUAAUAGUUA